rnacentral:rRNA from 1 species
UACGAAGGGGGCUAGCGUUGCUCGGAAUCACUGGGCGUAAAGCGCACGUAGGCGGUCCGCUAAGUCAGGCGUGAAAUCCCCCGGCUCAACCGGGGAAUUGCGCCUGAUACUGGCGGGCUCGAGGUUGGUAGGGGUGAGCGGAACUCCAGGUGGAGCGGUGAAAUGCGUAGAUAUCUGGAGGAACACCGGUGGCGAAGGCGGCAUCCUGGACCAAUUCUGACGCUGAGUGAGCGAAAGCCAGGGGAGCAAACGGG